GAUAUGCAUUGUAAGAUGUUUAAAAAAAAGCAGCAGCCAGGGGAAGGAGGGGAGUGGACAACUUGGGGAUGCUUCCAACAGGCCCCUUCUCUUCCUGCUCUCUGUCUCGCUCACUCUGACUCUAUCUUUUCCUCUGAAUGUCUUGAGGUCUCAGAUUGUAUCUGCAACCUGUUUCCAGAUCCCCCUAGGGGCCUCUGCCUCUCCUUCACUUUCCCCUGGAACUGACCUCCAGCUCCCUCCCUCACCCAUUCCCAGACCAGGAGACGCUACUGAUGUACCAGCUACAGUGCCAGGUGCUGGCACGAGCAGCUGUCUUAACCCGAGUAUUGGACCUUGCCUCCCGCCUGGACGUCCUGUUGGCUCUUGCCAGUGCUGCCCGGGACUAUGGCUACUCAAGGCCACGUUACUCCCCCCGAGUCCUUGGGGUACGAAUCCAGAAUGGCAGACAUCCUCUGAUGGAACUCUGUGCCCGAACCUUUGUGCCCAACUCCACAGAAUGUGGUGGGGACAAAGGGAGGGUCAAAGUCAU
rnacentral:sRNA from 1 species